rnacentral:rRNA from 1 species
GACGAACGCUGGCGGCGCGCCUAAUACAUGCAAGUCGUACGGGCACCCUUCGGGGUGUCAGUGGCGGACGGGUGAGUAACACGUGGGUGACCUGCCCUGCAGUGGGGAAUAACUCUGGGAAACCAGAGCUAAUACCGCAUAUGCUUAGUGCAUCAUAGCAUUAAGUAAAGAGAAAUCGCUGCAGGAGGGGCCUGCGCCGGAUUAGCUAGUCGGUGGGGUAAUGGCCUACCGAGGCGACGAUCCGUAGCUGGUCUGAGAGGACGACCAGCCACACUGGGACUGAGACACGGCCCAGACUCCUACGGGAGGCAGCAGUAAGGAAUAUUCCACAAUGGGC